rnacentral:rRNA from 1 species
UACGUAGGGUGCAAGCGUUGUCCGGAAUUAUUGGGCGUAAAGAGCUCGUAGGCGGUCUGUCGCGUCGGAUGUGAAAACCCAGGGCUCAACCCUGGGCCUGCAUUCGAUACGGGCAGACUAGAGUUCGGUAGGGGAGACUGGAAUUCCUGGUGUAGCGGUGAAAUGCGCAGAUAUCAGGAGGAACACCGGUGGCGAAGGCGGGUCUCUGGGCCGAAACUGACGCUGAGGUGCGAAAGCUAGGGUAGCAAACGGG